UACGAAGGUCCCUAGCGUUGUUCGGAAUUAUUGGGCGUAAAGCGCAGGUAGGUGGCUUUUCAAGUCAGGUGUGAAAGCCUGGGGCUUGACCCGAGAAGUGCACUUGAAACUGCUUAGCUUGAGUACGGGAGAGGUGAGUGGAAUUCCUGGUGUAGUGGUGAAAUGCGUAGAUAUCAGGAGGAACACCGGUGGCGAAGGCGGCUCACUGGACCAGUACUGACACUGAGCUGCGAAAGCAUGGGGAUCAAACAGG
rnacentral:rRNA from 1 species